GUACACUCCUACGGGAGGCAGCAGUGGGGAAUAUCGCACAAUGGGCGCAAGCCUGAUGCAGCCAUGCCGCGUGUAUGAAGAAGGCCUUCGGGUUGUAAAGUACUUUCAGCGGGGAGGAAGGCGAUAAGGUUAAUAACCUUGUCGAUUGACGUUACCCGCAGAAGAAGCACCGGCUAACUCCGUGCCAGCAGCCGCGGUAAUACGGAGGGUGCAAGCGUUAAUCGGAAUUACUGGGCGUAAAGCGCACGCAGGCGGUCUGUCAAGUCGGAUGUGAAAUCCCCGGGCUCAACCUGGGAACUGCAUUCGAAACUGGCAGGCUAGAGUCUUGUAGAGGGGGGUAGAAUUCCAGGUGUAGCGGUGAAAUGCGUAGAGAUCUGGAGGAAUACCGGUGGCGAAGGCGGCCCCCUGGACAAAGACUGACGCUCAGGUGCGAAAGCGUGGGGAGCAAACAGGAUUAGAAACCCUAGUAGUCCCAUG
rnacentral:rRNA from 1 species